CAGCCGUAAACUAUGCGCGUUAGGUGUAUCGGUGACCACGAGUCACCGAGGUGCCGAAGGGAAACCGUGAAACGUGCCGCCUGGGAAGUACGGUCGCAAGGCUGAAACUUAAAGGAAUUGGCGGGGGAGCACAACAACGGGUGGAGCCUGCGGUUUAAUUAGACUCAACGCCGGACAACUCACCGGGGACGACAGCAAUAUGUAGGCCAGGCUGAAGACCUUGCCUGAAUCGCUGAGAGGAGGUGCAUGGCGUAGACGUCU
rnacentral:rRNA from 1 species